GACGAACGCUGGCGGCGUGCUUAACACAUGCAAGUCGACUUGAAUUUCCCUUCUUUUGUGGGGUGUUCGUGUGGCGAACGUGUGUGUAACACGUGAGUAUCCUGCCCUUGCCUUUGGGAUAACUUCAGGAAACUUGGUCUUAUCCCGGAUUGUAGUACCUGCUCCUUGUUUGGUUUUGGAAAGUUUCGGCGGUUGGGGAUGGACUUGCGUCUUAUCAGCUUGUUGGUGGGGUAGUGGCUUACCAAGGCUUUGACGGGUAGCCGGCCUGAGAGGGUGAACGGCCAAAUAGGGAAUGAGAAAAGGGCCAGAAUCCUAAGGGAAGCAGGAGGUGGGAAAAAUGCAAAAAGGGAGGGAGACUGAGGCAGAGAAAUCGUGUGCGGGAUAAGGGGUUUCGGGUUAUGAACCGCGUUCGCAGGUGAGGAAGAAUGAGUGACGGUAAUAGGUAAAGAAGCAACGGCUAAAUACGUG
rnacentral:rRNA from 1 species